rnacentral:rRNA from 1 species
UACGUAGGGGGCAAGCGUUGUCCGGAAUCAUUGGGCGUAAAGCGCGUGUAGGCGGCCCGGUAAGUCCGCUGUGAAAGUCGGGGGCUCAACCCUCGAAUGCCGGUGGAUACUGUCGGGCUAGAGUGCGGGAGAGGCGGGUGGAAUUCCUGGUGUAGCGGUGGAAUGCGCAGAUAUCAGGAGGAACACCAACGGCGAAGGCAGCCCGCUGGGACGGUACUGACGCUAAGGCGCGAAAGCGUGGGGAGCGAACAGG